AUUACCAACCCCGUUGGCCAUCCAAAGGUGCUGUAUAGAUUCAUUUAUCUAAAACUUGGAACUCCUAUGGCUAAAAAUUGAGACACUUCACUCACUGGAAGGGGAAUUGAAGUCUGAUUCAGACAAUCUGAGCUUGCCAAACACGACCCAUUGACAUUUUUGGUCAAACGAGCAAAGCCGCCAAAGUAGUUUCCUCUCUCUCUCUCUCUCUCUCUCAAAACAGAAGAGAGAGAAAACUGGAAGCCCAAAAAAGCGGAUUCAGAAAUUUUCUUGGAGAAACCAGAGAGCGAACAAUGCAGACGAGAACAGUGCUAGUAGGGCAUGUAUCGGAUCUAGCAGGAGAGAGAGAAAUUCAGGAAUUCUUCUCUUUUUCUGGAGAUAUCGAACACAUUGAGAUCCAAAGAGGUGCUGGGCAAUCGAAGACUGCAUUCGUCACUUUCAAAGAUCCAAAAGCUCUGGAAAUCGCAUUACUAUUAUCUGUAAUUCCCCUUUUC